rnacentral:rRNA from 1 species
CUAUCUGGCCCUAACUAUAAGUGGGUGUGGAAAGCCCCUAUCCCACUAAAAAUCAAAAUUUUCUUGUGGCAACUUUUUCAAAAUGUUGUGCUUACAAGAGAUAAUAUGCGGGCUAGGAAGUGGCAUGGAGAUCCUACAUGUUCUUUUUGUACAAAUGUUGAAACAGCGAACCAUCUAGUCUUUACUUGCCCACUUGCCCGCACAAUUUGGGGCGUGCUGGGAAUGACGGGUGGAGCAUCUUGUUGUCCCUGA